rnacentral:rRNA from 1 species
GCGGAUGAAGGGAGCUUGCUCUCUGAUUCAGCGGCGGACGGGUGAGUAAUGCCUAGGAAUCUGCCUGAUAGUGGGGGACAACGUUUCGAAAGGAACGCUAAUACCGCAUACGUCCUACGGGAGAAAGCAGGGGACCUUCGGGCCUUGCGCUAUCAGAUGAGCCUAGGUCGGAUUAGCUAGUUGGUGAGGUAACGGCUCACCAAGGCGACGAUCCGUAACUGGUCUGAGAGGAUGAUCAGUCACACUGGAACUGAGACACGGUCCAGACUCCUACGGGAGGCAGCAGUGGGGAAUAUUGGACAAUGGGCGAAAGCCUGAUCCAGCCAUGCCGCGUGUGUGAAGAAGGUCUUCGGAUUGUAAAGCACUUUAAGUUGGGAGGAAGGGCAUUAACCUAAUACGUUAGUGUUUUGACGUUACCGACAGAAUAAGCACCGGCUAACUUCGUG